rnacentral:rRNA from 1 species
UGAGGAAUAUUGGUCAAUGGACGGAAGUCUGAACCAGCCAAGUAGCGUGCAGGAUGACGGCCCUAUGGGUUGUAAACUGCUUUUGUAUGGGGAUAAAGUUAGGGACGUGUCCCUAUUUGCAGGUACCAUACGAAUAAGGACCGGCUAAUUCCGUGCCAGCAGCCGCGGUAAUACGGAAGGUCCAGGCGUUAUCCGGAUUUAUUGGGUUUAAAGGGAGCGUAGGCUGGAGAUUAAGUGUGUUGUGAAAUGUAGACGCUCAACGUCUGAAUUGCAGCGCAUACUGGUUUCCUUGAGUACGCACAACGUUGGCGGAAUUCGUCGUGUAGCGGUGAAAUGCUUAGAUAUGACGAAGAACUCCGAUUGCGAAGGCAGCUGACGGGAGCGCAACUGACACUUAAGCUCGAAGGUGCGGGUAUCAAACAGGAUUAGAUACCCUGGUAGUCCGCACAGUAAACGAUGGAUGCCCGCUGUUGGUACCUGGUAUCAGCGGCUAAGCGAAAGCAUUAAGCAUCCCACCUGGGGAGUACGCCGGCAACGGUG